GGGAAAACGACUGGGUAAAGUUGGCUGCUUCUUGUUUGCGGUUGUUCUGUGGGGCUCCUCUGGGGUUCUCAUCCCACCUCCCUGCUCCUCCUUGUUUAACACCCUCAUUUCAGAGCUUUUCUGGGUACCCCCUCCCUGGUCCAAACGCCAGCUGGGAUACCAAACCAAAAUUGCUACAGUCUUACCUCCCUGGGUGUUUGAGUCAUCCCGCAGGCAUCGGGUGCUACUGAUGAGAGCUCAGGGUUGGAAUCAUGAGUUGUCUUGGAUUCCAACCCUGCCAUGCGUCGUGUCAGCUGCGCAUCACCAACUACAACACAGAAUGUUUCUGUCUUGCUUUUGUCAUCCGUAAGAUGAUGUUCGCAACAGCACAGUGCCAGCGCUACCACGGCCCCAACAGAGUCAGCUGUACUCAAGACGGAGGAAGACGCCAUGAUGUCAACUGUACUGAUGGAUAACUAGGAAUCUAAGAUGAGGGCUGGGAAUCUACGAUGGCUCAGGUGGCAAAGUCUUGCAAACAUGAAGACCCGAGUUCGAUCCCCAGAACCUGUGCAAAAAUAAAAAUGAGAAUGAAAUGGGAGGAAA
ensembl:antisense Gm13580 uncharacterized LOC110317493